rnacentral:rRNA from 1 species
CGGGUGCACUGAUCCAGCCGGGCCUUUCCCUCUGUGGAACCCCAUGGCCUUCACUGGCUGUGGUGGGGAAACAGGACUUUUACUUUGAAAAAAUUAGAGUGCUCCAGGCAGGCCUAUGCUCGAAUACAUUAGCAUGGAAUAAUAGAAUAGGACGUGUGGUUCUAUUUUGUUGGUUUCUAGGACCGCCGUAAUGAUUAAUAGGGACAGUCGGGGGCAUCAGUAUUCAAUUGUCAGAGGUGAAAUUCUUGGAUCUAUUGAAGACUAACUACUGCGAAAGCAUUUGCCAAGGAUGUUUUCAUUGAUAAGGAACGAAAGUUAGGGGAUCGAAGGCGAUCAGAUACCGUCGUAGUCUUAACUAUAAACUAUGCCGACUAGGGAUCGGACGAUGUUAUUCUUUGACGCGUUCGGCACCUUUCGAGAAAUCAAAGUGCUUGGGCUCCAGGGGGAGUAUGGUCGCAAGGCUGAAACUUAAAGAAAUUGACGGAAGGGCACCACCAGGGGUGGAACCUGCGGCUUAAUUUGACUCAACACGGGGAAACUCACCAGGUCCAGACACAGUGAGGAUUGACAGAUUGAGAGCUCUUUCUUGAUUCUGUGGGUGGUGGUGCAUGGCCGUUCUUAGUUGGUGGAGUGAUUUGUCUGCUUAAUUGCGAUAACGAACGAGACCUUAACCUGCUAAAUAGCCCGUACUGCUUUGGCAGUUCGCCGGCUUCUUAGAGGGACUAUCGG